rnacentral:pre_miRNA from 1 species
UAAGUACUCCCUCCGUUCGGAAUUACUCGUCCAAGAAAUAAAUGUAUCUAGAUGUAUUUUAGUUGUAGAUACAUCCAUUUUUGUGACAAGUAAUUCCGAAGGGAGGGAGUAGAAC